rnacentral:rRNA from 1 species
CCUACGGGAGGCAGCAGUCGAGAAUCAUUCACAAUGGGGGAAACCCUGAUGGUGCGACGCCGCGUGGGGGAAUGAAGGUCUUCGGAUUGUAAACUCUUGUCAUGUGGGAGCAAAUUAAAAAGAUAGUACCACAAGAGGAAGAGACGGCUAACUCUGUGGCAGCAGCCGCGGUAAUACAGAGGUCUCAAGCGUUGUUCGGAAUCACUGGGCGAAAAGCGUGCGUAGACUGUUUCGUAAGUCGUGUGUGAAAGGCGCGGGCUCAACCCGCGGACUGCACAUGAUACUGCGAGACUAGAGUACAGGAGGGGGAACCGGAAUUCUCGGUGUAGCGGUGAAAUGCGUAGAUA